ACGGAAGGCAGCAGUGAGGAAUAUUGGUCAAUGGAGGCAACUCUGAACCAGCCAUCUCGCGUGAAGGAAUACGGCCCUACGGGUCUUAAACUUCUUUUAUAGGGGGAUAAAGUGAGGCAUGCAUGCCUUUUUGUAGGUACCCUAUGAAUAAGCAUCGGCUAACUCCGUGCCAGCAGCCGCGGUAAUACGGAGGAUGCGAGCGUUAUCCGGAUUUAUUGGGUUUAAAGGGUGCGCAGGCGGCACGUUAAGUCAGCGGUGAAAUGUCGGGGCUCAACCCGGGCACUGCCGUUGAAACUGGCGAGCUCGAGUACGGAUGAAGUUGGCGGAAUGUGUAGUGUAGCGGUGAAAUGCAUAGAUAUUACUCAGAACACCGAUUGCGAAGGCAUCUCACGAAUCCGUCAUUGACGCUGAGGCACGAAAGCGUGGGGAUCAAACAGGAUUAGAUACCCUGGUA
rnacentral:rRNA from 1 species